AUGUUCCUGCUGAUUUCUGAUGUUUCUCCCGAAAAAAAAAAAAAAAAAAACGAACUAUAUUUACCUGUACCAAAGAACCAUUCUAAUUCUGUUUUGUUUUCUUGUAUUUUAGGUGGAAUUAUUGGACCUAUAAUGCAAUUCACAGCACCUGUCCCUGGAGCUACAGGACCAAUCAAGUUAACUCAAAAAACCAUUGACUCAAGGAUCCAGCGCUUCCAUCGUGUUAUUAUCCCACCCACAACUCCUCUAGGUUGGACUCACCCAGGUUCUGCCAUAAAAAUUGUGAAGCUGAAAUACAAAGUGAAAAAAUUGGACUCACCCAGGUUCUGCCAUAAAAAUUGUGAAGCUGAAAUACAAAGUGAAAAAAUAACUUUCAGGAAUGAUCCUGCCUGA
rnacentral:lncRNA from 1 species